GAAUAUUGGGCAAUGGGCGCAAGCCUGACCCAGCGACGCCGCGUGAGGGAUGAAGGCCUUCGGGUUGUAAACCUCUUUCAGUAGGGAAGAAGCGAAAGUGACGGUACCUAAAGAAGAAGCACCGGCUAACUAUGUGCCAGCAGCCGCGGUAAUACAUAGGGUGCAAGCGUUGUCCGGAAUUAUUGGGCGUAAAGAGCUCGUAGGUCGUUUGCCACGUCGAUUGUGAAAAUCUGAGGCUCAACCUCAGACCUGCAGUCGAUACGGGCAAACUAGAGUGUGGUAGGGGAGACCGGAAUUCCUGGUGUAGCGGUGGAAUGCGCAGAUAUCAGGAGGAACACCAAUGGCGAAGGCAGGUCUCUGGGCCAUAACUGACACUGAGGAGCGAAAGCGCGGGGAGCGAACAGGAUUAGAUACCCCAGUAGUC
rnacentral:rRNA from 1 species